rnacentral:rRNA from 1 species
UACAGAGGCCCCAAGCGUUGUUCGGAUUCACUGGGCGUAAAGGGUGCGUAGGCGGCCGGGUAAGUCUGAUGUGAAAUCCCGCAGCUUAACUGCGGAACUGCAUCGGAUACUCUCCGGCUAGAGGAAUGGAGGGGAGACUGGAAUUCUCGGAGUAGCAGUGAAAUGCGUAGAUAUCGAGAGGAACACCAGUGGCGAAGGCGAGUCUCUGGACAUUUCCUAACGCUGAGGCACGAAAGCCAGGGGAGCAAACGGG